UUUUACCCUUCUCAAAACAAAUACACAAUAUCAAGAUCAGGUUGGUUGGUGAACAUAUUCAAGCAAAAUCUUGAAGCUGCAAGUUUUGUUUAAUCAGAUCAUACCUUCCUUGUCAACUGAGAUUCAAGAUCUGCAGUUGUGUGGUCCACAUCUCCUUCAUCAACAACAGGAGCAGCAUCCCCUUGGCUCUGAACUACAGGUACAGCAGCACCUUGGCCUUGAACUACAGGUUCAGCAGUACUUUGGUCCUCACCAACAGUUCCAACGGCAGCAGAGGUUUGACCUUCGUCAACAGGUGCAGUGUUCUUGCAUUUCUUUGUGGUAUGCCCUUCUUGCUUGCAUUUUCCACAUUCAGUUAUUCUCUGUGUUAAAUCCAACAAAAAUUCAGCAAUGACAAUUCAUAAAUCAGCCAUAUGAAAACAACAUAAAAUCCAACAAUAAACCAUCAUUUACCUUCUUUCUUGUUUCAUAUCCAGGAGCUGGUUCAUUCUUGCAACCUCUGGCAUUGUGUCCAUGUUGGUUGAAUCUCCCACAUUUUAUGGGUGCACCACCUCUCCUCAAUCUACUUGGAUUUGGAUCUUCAUAAGGAUCCCUUCUCCUUAACUUCUUUGGCCUACCGGCAG
rnacentral:lncRNA from 1 species